UUAGCUCUUUCCAUAUUCUCCAUUACCCGAAACCCUAAUCCCCAAAUUUCUCUUCCAAUCACAAAAUAUCUGAGAAAAAAAAAAUCGAAACAGAUUAAAUUCGAAAGUUUCCGGCGAUCAAAGUCUCUCUCCUUCAUACAUUCCACAAGUUUUAUAAUGAGAUUCAAAAAAGGAAGUAGAGUUGAGGUGUUUAGCAACAAGGAGGCACCUUACGGUGCGUGGCGAUGCGCUGAGAUCAUCUCGGGGAAUGGACACACCUACAACGUUAGGUUCUUCUCUUUCCACGAGGAGGCUGUCAUGGAGAGAGUUCCAAGGAAGGUGAUCAGGCCGUGUCCUCCGCAAGUUGAUGUUGAGCGAUGGGAGGCUGGUGAGUUGGUGGAGGUUCUUGAUAGCUUCUCAUGGAAAGCCGCCACCGUUCGACAAGAGCUGUGUGGGAACUACUAUGCUGUUCGGUUGCUUGGGACUCCAGCUGAGUUUACGUUUCACAAGGCUAACGUCAGGGUUCGACAGUCUUGGCAAGAUGAGAGAUGGGUUGCGAUUGGAAAGAUAUCAGGUUCUGUGAAGUCAUCCUUACUGACUGGAUCAGACGUACAACGGAAGCUGAAGCCCCAAGUGAACAGCAAACGUCUACAGGAGCCUAGUGUCGUCUCUGCUAGAAUGUUGAAGAGGCCGUCACCUCACAACUGGCCUGAGUGUGCUGAAUCAUGCACUGGAAACACUAAGAAGAUACGAUCACUGGAAGCGCCUUCCUCUAAGAAUGGCGAAACUGGUUGCUGUCAAAUGGUCAGGGUAAGAUCAAAAGGUUCUAGUGAGGGUGUUCGUGCAGGAAGCUUAGUCGCUGACGAUUGUUUUGAUAGCGAUGCAACUUCAGUUGGUAGUUGUAGCGCUGCUAGUGAUGAUGAUGAGAGUAACAUGCCACCUUGUAUGCUAGAUGGCUCUGGACCACAGGCAGACUCAAGUAGCAGCGAGGCUGAAUCUUUUUGUGGACUUAGGGAAGAAGCAAGGCGGAAGCAUUCAUUAGCAGGUGGUGAUGGAGUAAGAAGGUCGUGUAGGUCUGAACUAUAUACUUACCGCAGUACAUUGGGGGACUUAUUCGCUUCUGGUCCCUUGAGUUGGGAACAAGAAACAUCGUUAACUGAUCUCCGUCUUUCUCUAAAUAUAUCAGAUGAUGAACAUUUGAUGGAGGUAAAAAAUUUGAUAUCUGCUGGUACCCGCAGUCAAUUUUGCUAGUAUCAAUCAGAAAUUAAUUCUUUUUUCUUUUUGUCCUGGCCAUAUUUCCCUGCAACGUGGAAUCAUUCAACUGUCAUAUAUCGUUUCUUUCCCAGUGGAUUUGAUAUUGAGUGUAUAGUCACAGCAGAAUAUAAGAACAUUGUCGCCUUGUCCGAGGCAUGCAAGACCUUUUGCUUUUAGAGGUCUAACUCUGAUGCUGGGGUUUACGGCUUCUCCCUUUUGGCCAUAUGAAUGGUGCAAUACCAUUCCCGUUCUUCAAAAACGUAACUGGCUUUUAUGCUAUUUUCAUUUUGUCGCUAUCUUGAUAUGGCGACUUAUUGCAGGUGUCCUGGAGUUUGGCUUUGUCCACAGGGCUAGAAAGCUGUGGUGCUUUGAGCAGGUUUCCUUAUAUAUUUACAGUCUGGUUGGAUUAAAUUUACUGAUAACAUGUCAAGAUCUAGUAUUUCCCCUUUAGCCCUUUCUAGUUCACUAGUUAUAUCUUGCGGUGCCUUCUUUUUUGGGUAUUGUUUCUCUUCUGAUUGCUUAUUUGAACUGCGUGAUGUAGAUGCUACCAUGUUUAACUAUGAUUAGGCGCAUAGUCCAUUCUUUUUGGAAAUAAGCGUUGUGGCUUGGUGAGAGGUAAGAGUGAAAUGGCUUUGAAUAGGGUUAAUGCUCAUCCAGACAACGUGUUGAUUCCUUAUUCUGAUUUGUUCUCACAUUUUUGCUUAGUUAGUCGCCUAUGCGUUGUGAAAAUUCUCCAAACUCACUCUUCAGAUCUCUCAAGCAAAGCUAGUUGUUUACAAUGUUAGUCUCAACUCUAGUUGUUUCCUUACAUGUGAUGAUGUUACUGUUAUGCCGUGUGUUCUUUUUUUGUAUGGGUUACUUGCUUCCAAGAGGACAUGUUUGCAUCAACAACAUGAGAAAGUAAAAGCAAUCAAGUCAUGUACUUGCAAGUUCAUUUUUUAUAUUAAACACAAUGCCCUCCCUCACUGGAUGAAAGAUUUGUGUUAUGUUUGUAAUGAAGUUGAUUAAUAUUAUUUUAUUAUCUUGGGAUGUACAAGCUAAGAUUCAAUAUUUACUUAAAUUGUAAAUUUGUUAAUAAUUAGAAGAU